rnacentral:lncRNA from 1 species
UUAUGACUUGAGUUAGUCAAUGGAAUAAGAUUCCAAUUUAUUCUGUUAAAUUAUUUUGGAAAUUUAUAAUUGAGGUGUUUGGUUUAGAUGCCUUACAUGCUCGUGGGGAGAGUUUCCUACGGGUGUGCGGCGGUUGGCGCGACCCCCGGCCCGCGAUCUCGGGACGGGGGCGUGACAACUCAAAUGGUAUCAGAGCGGACCCGGCCCAUAACCUAUGUGAACUAGGGGACACUACAGCACGGAUCCAUUGGGGCUGACUACGGGCCAAUCGUGGUGCUUGUGAUUAGAUUUGAAUAGAUAUGAACCCUUAGCUUGACGAGGACGUCAGGGCUUGAACGGGAAGAGUAUGUGAGGACCCGUGCAGGCGUGUGUUUAGUCCCACAUCGGUUAUUCGCUGGGUAGAUCUUGGGUAUUUAUACAGGAUCAAGGAACCCAAAUAGUAAUUUCCGGCUAGCCAUUUUGGGUGAGAUCUUGGAUUGUUACAAAUGGUAUCCGAGGAAAAUUCACAGAACUAGCCAAAUUUGUUCCGAAAUUGGUAGAGGAUGAGCAAGACCGAGUGCACAAGUUUGAGAUGGGAUUGAAGA